rnacentral:rRNA from 1 species
GAUGAACGCUGGCGGCGUGCCUAAUACAUGCAAGUCGAGCGAACAGAUGAGGAGCUUGCUCCUCUGACGUUAGCGGCGGACGGGUGAGUAACACGUGGAUAACCUACCUAUAAGACUGGGAUAACUUCGGGAAACCGGAGCUAAUACCGGAUAAUAUAUUGAACCGCAUGGUUCAAUAGUGAAAGACGGUUUUGCUGUCACUUAUAGAUGGAUCCGCGCCGCAUUAGCUAGUUGGUAAGGUAACGGCUUACCAAGGCAACGAUGCGUAGCCGACCUGAGAGGGUGAUCGGCCACACUGGAACUGAGACACGGUCCAGACUCCUACGGGAGGCAGCAGUAGGGAAUCUUCCGCAAUGGGCGAAAGCCUGACGUAGCAACGCCGCGUGAGUGAUGAAGGUCUUCUGAUCGUAAAACUCUGUUAUUAGGGAAGAACAAAUGUGUAAGUACCUAUGCACGUCUUGACGGUACCUAAUCAGAAAGCCACGGCUAACUACGUG